rnacentral:rRNA from 1 species
AGCGGUGAACGGGUGAGGAAUACAUGGGUAACCUACCCUCGAGUGGGGAAUAACUAGCCGAAAGGUUAGCUAAUACCGCGUACGCUCCUUGGACUUCGGUUCAGGGAGGAAAGCGAUACCGUGGGUAUCGCGCUCUUGGUUGGGCUCAUGUCCUAUCAGCUUGUUGGUGAGGUAACGGCUCACCAAGGCUUCGACGGGUAGCUGGUCUGAGAGGACGAUCAGCCACACUGGAACUGAAACACGGUCCAGACUCCUACGGGAGGCAGCAGUGGGGAAUUUUGCGCAAUGGGGGAAACCCUGACGCAGCAAACGCCGCGUGGAGGAUGAAGUCCCUUGGGACGUAAACUCCUUUCGACCGGGAAGAUUAUGACGGUACCGGUGGAAAGAAGCCCCGGUUAACUUCGUGCCAGCAGCCGCGGUAAUUACGAGGGGGGCAAGCGUUGUUCGGAAUUAUUGGGCGUAAAGGGCCGCGUAGGCGGUGCGGUAAGUCCACCUUGUGGAAACCUCUAGGCUUAACCUAGAGCCUUGCAGGCGAAACUGCCGUGCUUGGAGGGUUG